rnacentral:sRNA from 1 species
CGCGUCCGCCUCGUGGACGCCGCUGCCCAUCCAAGCCGACUCCCGGUUACGCUGGCGCCGUGCGGCAUCCCGGCCCGCCCGGGAGAGCCGCAUAGCCGACAGCCGUCGCAUAGAGGGAGCCCCUUCAUG